rnacentral:lncRNA from 1 species
AUCCAGGAUACAGUGAAUGGGACUGCCUACAGUGAAGAUGAGCAGAGAACCGUCCCACAUCAGCUAAUACAUCAAGACUGUCCCUCACAGGCAUAACCAAAGGCUUGUCCUCCAGGUAACUAUGGAUUCUUUCAAGCUGUCAGCAAUAACCAUUGCCCGUGCCAAUCCUCAUAUAUUCCCUCCCAUAAAUACAGCUUCCUGUCUUUCACUGAAUAUCAGCCUAGAUCUGGCUCUAUGCUGGGAGUUGGCCACUGCUGUGCCCAGAAAAAUUCUCAAGGGCAUUCUGAGAGCCUGGUACAUGCAGGAGGGGCUCAGGAGGUUCCACAGAGUGCUGCCAAAGGCCAGCAGUAAACCCCCAGCCAUAAUAAACUCACAAAGGACAAUAACUUGGGAGUCAAUAGAGUUAGCAAGGAGAGAGGUCCAUCAGUUGAGAGAACACAUUUGCUCUUGCAGAGGACCCAAGUAAAAUUCCCAGUACUGAAAUUAGGUAGCUUACAACUGUCUGUGACUCCAUCCCCAGAGGAUCUGAUGCCCUCUUCUGGACUCUGCCAGCACCUUCACUCAUAGACACACACACACACACACACACACACACACACACUCACUAGGCUGUGAGUGUGGAAAGGGCCCUGAUCAAGGGCAUGUUGAACUGACUAGCAUUUGGCUUGGGAGCGACUUGAAAUCCCAGCAUUGGAAGGCAGAGACACCAAUCCCCAGGACAAAGAGCUAAUUGGAAUUGGUGAGCUUCAGUUCAAGGAGCCACCCUGUUGCGAUAAAUAAAGGUUGCUUGUUGGGUAAGGUGCAUGCUGCCAAGCCUGACAAUGACUCUGACUUGUGUCAAGUUGACAAAUCAGCAGUAGCAGCAGCAGCAGCAGCAUCACCUAACCAGGACAUCCACACCGACCCACUGCUCCUCUUUAAAGGCCACCUGUACUUCACUGGAGAGCUGUCAGCUAAGAGCUGU